rnacentral:rRNA from 1 species
UAGGGAAUCUUCGGCAAUGGGGGCAACCCUGACCGAGCAACGCCGCGUGAGUGAAGAAGGUUUUCGGAUCGUAAAGCUCUGUUGUAAGAGAAGAACGUGUGUGAGAGUGGAAAGUUCACACAGUGACGGUAACUUACCAAAAAGGGACGGCUAACUACGUGCCAGCAGCCGCGGUAAUACGUAGGUCCCGAGCGUUGUCCGGAUUUAUUGGGCGUAAAGCGAGCGCAGGCGGUUUAAUAAGUCUGAAGUUAAAGGCAGUGGCUUAACCAUUGUUCGCUUUGGAAACUGUUAAACUUGAGUGCAGAAGGGGAGAGUGGAAUUCCAUGUGUAGCGGUGAAAUGCGUAGAUAUAUGGAGGAACACCGGUGGCGAAAGCGGCUCUCUGGUCUGUAACUGACGCUGAGGCUCGAAAGCGUGGGGAGCAAACAGG